UAAGACGCUUCUCUAACAUCUCAACCAAAAAUCCCACCAAAACCCAAGCAACACCCUCCUCUUUUACACUCUCAUACCUCAUCAACUCAUGUGGACUCUCUCCCCACUCAGCCCUCUCUGCUUCCCAAAAAAUCGAACUCAAAUCAGCUCAAAAUCCAGAUUCUGUCCUCAAAUUCUUCAGGAAUCAUGGAUUCACGAAAACCCAAGUCACAAAUCUCAUUGCCAAGUGCCCACGACUCCUCUUAGCCGAUCCCAACAGAACCCUCAUACCCAAGUUCCAAAAUUUCCAUGGUUUGGGCAUUCCAGGCGCAACCCUUGCUAAGAUCCUCUCUUGGGACUACAACCUCUGGAAUCGCAGCCUACAAAACCAAAUCAUCCCAUCCAUUGAUUUCAUUAAAGCUUGCGUCCGCACCAACGAACGCGUCAUCUGUUGCAUCCAGCAUUCAACCCACAUUCUCCGAUAUGAUCUCCAAAAAGUAAUGGAACCCAACAUCACGAUGCUGCGUGACCAAGGCGUGCCCGAAUCCAGGAUUGUGAGAUUGAUCACAAUUCAGCCCAGAGUGCUGAUGCAAACUGCUGAACGGUUGAAUGAGAUCCACGCUAUGGUUAAGGAAAUGGGUUUCAAUCUGUCGAGUGGGAAUUUCAUCCUAGCCAUCCAGUCGGUGUCAACGAUGAGCAGAUUGAAGUGGGAACAGAAGGUGAACCUUUCUCAGAGGUUAGGGUGGUCUGAGGACGAGUUCAUCUCGGCAUUCAGAGUGCAACCGUAUUGUAUGAUGAUGUCGGAGAAGAAGAUCAAGAGAGUAAUGAAUUUCUUCGUGAAAGAAAUGGAUUGGAAGCCAUCAGAUCUUUCUAGACACCCGGGUAUACUUAUGUUUAGUUUGGAGAAGAGGAUCAUACCGAGAUGUUCAGUCCUUCAGAUUCUAAUGUCAAAAGGUCUUAUUAAGAAGGAUUCCAUUAUAAGAACUGCAUUGGUUCUUAGCGACAAGGCCUUCUUGGAAAGAUUUAUUAUAAAGUAUCAGGAGAUCAUUCCCAAAAUAAUAACAGUGUAUCGAGGCAAAAUGGCAUUUGAAGGAUUAGAUGCCAUGUCUGAAGAUGCUGGACCUGCACUAAAAUUGUAGCCUUUCAUCUAAUUAUAUUGGGAAAGAAUGCAUUGGAGAGGACUGUUUAAGAGGUGCUAUUUGUUGUUAAAGAUUCCAAUGUGGAAGGCUGCGAUUAGGAGUAAUUUGAGUUCUUUGGAUACUGGAAUUGACAACAAAAGGGGAAUUCCUGAAGUUAUUGAAGACUUUAAGAAAGGCAUUGGGAGUUCUGUCCAACUGCAUGUAGGUACGCGUACCAAUAUAGCAGAGAAGUAGUUGAUCUGAGCUUUCCAUCAAGUGGGCUACACCAUUUCGAUCUUGCAAGGUACUCUCCCAACUGCAGAUCAGGCCUUAACAGAUUGUUCCAAUUGGUUUGUGUGAGAAUUUCUAACAAUUGCAAUCAACAGUCCAAGGCUCUACGCUGCUCCAAUACCCAAUUUGAUGGUUCAAUAUCACUCCAAAGGUCAACACCACUCCAGGACGAGCAGGAUCAAGUGUCCCAUCAGCUAGAUGAGCAGAAAUCUACCACAAUAGCCAGAAGUCGAUAUGAAACCUUUCUUCUGCAGCAUCCUAUGUGAUUCAACAGUUCAGAAGUGCACAAAGGAUGGCCCCUCAUAGUCCAAUCAAGUGAAAGAAGCUAGGCCUAAGAGGAUUCUACCGAGAACCACACCAAGAAUCACUAUUAAGAGCGACGACUUAUUGGAAGCUGAAGAGCAAGGUCAACUUCCAGUUGCAGCGCUGGUCAAAGACAAGAGACCGAUAGAAGCUUCGGCAAGGGCUACUGGUCACAUUGAGGAAGAGGAAGAAGUUGAUCCCGCUCCACUUGUUCGACGUUCACGAUCAUCUCGAUCCGAGGCUUCACCUACCAAACCUUUGCUGCAUUCUUCUCUAGUUCAGGCUCCUCUUGUCACUUGAGGGAUGAAGAGCAAGGCGAUCCUACUGUCAAAGCUAGGAAUCCAAGUCAUGUUCUUGACACGUUAGAUCCCUUGAUCUAUGAACUAACAGUUUAUGUGGAUGCUCAAAUGGUCGUUGUUAAACCUACCGUUUUGUCGAACGUGCUGAUAACUGUUCCUGCUCAAGCCAUUGUUGAUUCUGAUAGAACAAAAACUGCCGACCGAGCUCCUGACUGUCCUCUCUCUAUCACUGUUAAGUUGUCAUGAGUUGGAAAAUCGACCAAUCCUCCAGAGAAAAUGAAUCAAGAUGGUCUGCCUCGUACCUUAGUUGAUCUGAAUGCACUA